GCGUGCCGUAACACAUGCAAGUCGUACGAGAAAGUCGCCUUCGGGUGGCGAGUACAGUGGCGCACGGGUGAGUAACACGUGGACAUCUACCCUUGAGACUGGAAUAACUCGCUGAAAAGCGGGAUAAUGCCGGAUAUGACUACGGGAGGCAUCUUCUGUAGUUAAAGGCGGGGACCCUUCGGGGCCUGUCACUCUUGGAUGAGUCCGCGUCCCAUCAGCUUGUUGGUAGGGUAACGGCCUACCAAGGCUAAGACGGGUAUCUGGUCUGAGAGGAUGAUCAGUCACACUGGCACUGAAACACGGGCCAGACUCCUACGGGAGGCAGCAGUGGGGAAUAUUGCGCAAUGGGCGAAAGCCUGACGCAGCGACGUCGCGUGAGGGAAGAAGGCUCUCGGGUCGUAAACCUCUGUCGGGGGGGGAAGAAAAUUCCUAACGGGUUAACUACCCGUUAAGGAUUUGAACGGGUACCCCCCCAAAAGGGAAUUCAUUCGUGGCUAAACUACGUUGGCCAACCAGGCCGCGGUUAAAUACGUAAGGAUGCAAGCGUUACUCGGAUUUAUGGGGUGUAAGGGCUCGUAGGUGGCCCCGUUAGUCAUAGGUGAAAGCCCUCGGCUUAACCGAGGAAAUUGCCCUAUGAUACUGCCGGGCUUGAGUACUGAGAGGGAAGCGGAAUUCCUGGUGUAGCGGUGAAAUGCGUAGAUAUCAGGAGGAACACCGGUGGCGAAGGCGGCUUCCUGGACAGAUACUGACACUGAGGAGCGAAAGCGUGGGUAGCAAACAGGAUUAGAUACCCUGGUAGUCCACGCCCUAAACGAUGGGUACUAGGUGUGAGGACGAUUUAAAGUCUUCGUGCCGCAGCUAACGCAAUAAGUACCCCACCUGGGAAGUACGGCCGCAAGGUUGAAACUCAAAGGAAUUGACGGGGGCCCGCACAAGCGGUGGAGCAUGUGGUUUAAUUCGACGCAACGCGAAGAACCUUACCUGGGCUUGACAUCCGGAGAACCCCUUGGAAACUUGGGGGUGCCCGCGAGGGAAUUCCGUGACAGGUGCUGCAUGGCUGUCGUCAGCCC
rnacentral:rRNA from 1 species